ACUUGUCAUGGAUUAUGUGCAAUAACUCGUAGUCGCCACUCUGCUUUUAUUCUCUUAAUUAUGCAAACAAGACCGUAACUGAUUCUAUCUCUGUUCUUUCUCAUCUGGGUUCUUCUUCAAUGGCCCGGAGUCAUCAUCAUAAUGACAAACCCAAGAGGCUUUAUCAAGUCUGGAAGGGAAGCAAUGUGAGUUUUUUCUUUUCUUUUUUUUCCUACUCUAUGUAAUCUAUUUGUCGUGAAUCCAAUCGGGUAUCUUCCAUAAGUUGUUUUUGGUCGUUUUUUGAAUGCUUCAUCUUUUCUUAUUUCUUAUUUGACCGGCUAUGGCUGGCUAUAGUGAUUAAUUGUAGCUAAUCUUCCUAUGAGAUUCUUCAUUUUCUUGGUGCAGAAGAGGCAGAUUCACCCACGCUGGGCAGCAGUUCCCUCAUGAAUGCCAAUGAAAAUUGAGAAAGAAACACUCCCAAAACAACAACAACCACCACAAACACCACCACCACCACCACCAUUAUUCUCAAACUACAAUCACUAUUAUUCUAAAAUUUCAUUUUAAAUUAAUGAAAAUAAAUAAAAUAGCUAACUUAGGUUUUGUUGAAGGUUGUAGAUGGUAAAUCGGACGCCGAUGAGGGAUGGA
rnacentral:lncRNA from 1 species